ACCUCCGUUGUUGACAUACACGAAAAAACCCUAUAUAUGGACUAUACUCCAUAUUUUUGGAUUAUUUAAACAACUACAAUGUUUGAGUUCAGGUGGUGCAUCUUCUCCCCAAGAACCACCCAUUGCAGACUUGCUCAUUGUAAGGGCAGGCUGCAUAACUGUCAUACUGAAAGAUGUACGAAUACCUGUCGAAGACAGAAUACAUCAAAAGACUUAAAUUGCACGCUAUCUAAGGUACUUUCUUUGUACGACAUCAGACUUGAAAUAGUCAGAGCGGAUCAAAGAUUUCAUUUUCAAAGUAGAUGUUGUUGUAAACAGGGUAACCUUUACAUAGAUGGAUUACUUUU